GCGACAUUGGUGUAGCGGUUAACAUGGUGUGUCCAUAUGAAAAGGCACUUCCAGGUCUACACACAGACCCAGGUUCGAAUCCUGGAUGUCGCG
rnacentral:tRNA from 1 species